UUUAAUUAUCUUUCGCCAUCUUGAGAGUAAGCGCCGUUUUCCACUUCGUUGCUCCGGUUGGAUGCUGUUGGAUUCAGGGACGUAAAAACAAAGGCGGUAAAACAGUGGAGAGAAAAUUUCAUUCCUUCCUGUGAAGGUGGGAAACUUUUCUGCUUAGCAACAGCUGAUUAAUCUCCAGAGGAAACACGAGCCGGAUCAUUUCAUUGGCGCUACACACACUCUCCUGGCUGGUGUGUGUGUGAAGUUUCUGUUUGGACUUUAUUGCCUUCAUCUCUGGAGCAGCAGCAGACCUUACAGUUCGGUCUUCCUGGACAAGCGGCACCACCUGACCCAACAUGUUGCUGCUUUCUGAUUGGCUGGACCCUGGAGGGAAACUGACGGUGGAAACUUCCUGGGAUGAAGGCGCACCAUCAGAUGGAUGGAAACAAAUCCGCAGCAGAUUCAACAUCUGGUGAAGCCGAGACGCUCGCAGUGGAGGGCCAGCAGCAAAUUAACCAACCUGAUGAACUGAUGCUGCGUUCCAGGAACCUCGGAGGUAGGAAAUCGGAUCAGUUAAAGUCUGAGAGGUCGGGAUUUCAACAGACGUUGUACGCAGUACGUCUUAGGAGCAUCGUUUAAUUUUGCUUUCCAUCAGCAAACAAAACUUCUGAUUUGCUCAGUUUAGAGUUGCAGGAGCGACACGUAACACUGUGCCUAAAAACGUUCAUUUUAGGACGGGUGUGUUGUAUUUGUAUGGAUGGGUAGCAUUAGGCUAGCUGCUAGCAUGCCUAGGCUUCUCAUUUUACUGUAUGUUUACGCUGGAAGUCAUGCUACAUUUUUCGUGAUGAUAUUUUCUUUAAUGAUGAAAGCAGGAGUCGCAGGUGACCAGCCAAGGCAUGCUAACGGCUAGCAUAUGUUGGUCUAUCAUGGAUUUAGCCUCCUGCUACAAGGAAGUAGCCACCGCUGGCUUUGGAGGGAUGAUGGGAAAAUUCACAUCUCACUUCUAGGAAACUUUAUAUUUGUUUGAAAAG